CCUCUGAGAUCAGAUUUAACUACACGUCAUCAAAGAAAAUCCUACUAACUCUAGCCAGUGUUAAACAGAGUUUGUAGCCUCUCUCUCUCUCUCCCUGGUCUGAUAGUUGGAUUAGAGGUUAUUCCUACUAACUCUAGCCAGUGUUAAACAGAGUUGUAGACUCUCUCUCUCCUUUCUCGCCUGACGUCCCUGAAUUAGUUGAUUAAGGUUAUGUCCUACUAACCUAGCCAGUGGUUA
rnacentral:lncRNA from 1 species